rnacentral:rRNA from 1 species
AACGAACGCUGGCGGCGUGCCUAACACAUGCAAGUCGUGCGAGAAAGUUCCUUCGGGAGCGAGUAAAGCGGCGCACGGGUGAGUAACACGUAGGUAACCUGCCCCCCAGUCUGGAACAACUAGAGGAAACUCUAGCUAAUGCCGGAUGAGACCACGAUCCCUUCGGGGUUGCGGCCAAAGAUGGCCUCUACUUGUAAGCUAUCGCUGAGGGAUGGGCCUGCGGGCCAUUAGCUUGUUGGUGAGGUAACGGCUCACCAAGGCUGUGAUGGCUAGCUGGUCUGAGAGGAUGACCAGCCACACUGGGACUGAGACACGGCCCAAGA